rnacentral:misc_RNA from 1 species
GAUGAAGAACGCAGCGAAAUGCGAUAAGUAAUGUGAAUUGCAGAAUUCAGUGAAUCAUCGAAUCUUUGAACGCACAUUGCGCCCCCUGGUAUUCCGGGGGGCAUGCCUGUCCGAGCGUCAUUACAACCCUCAAGCCCAGCUUGGUGUUGGGCCCCGCCGCCCCGGCGGGCCCUAAAGUCAGUGGCGGUGCCGUCCGGCUCCGAGCGUAGUAAUUCUUCUCGCUCUGGAGGUCCGGUCGUGUGCUCGCCAGCAACCCCCAAUUUUUUUCAGGUUGACCUCGGAUCAGGUAGGGAUACCCGCUGAACUCAAGCAUAUCAAUAAGCGGAGGA